UAAGGAAUAUUGGUCAACGGACGCAAGUCUGAACCAGCCAUGCCGCGUGAAGGAUGAAGGUCCUCUGGAUUGUAAACUUCUUUUAUCUGGGACGAAAACGGGAUUUUUAUCUCAAUUGACGGUACCAGAGGAAUAAGCACCGGCUAACUCCGUGCCAGCAGCCGCGGUAACACGGAGGGUGCGAGCGUUAUCCGGAUUUACUGGGUUUAAAGGGUGCGUAGGUGGGCUUAUAAGUCAGUGGUGAAAUCUCCGAGCUUAACUUGGAAACUGCCGUUGAUACUAUAGGUCUUGAAUUAUCUGGAGGUAAGCGGAAUAUGUCAUGUAGCGGUGAAAUGCUUAGAUAUGACAUAGAACACCAAUUGCGAAGGCAGCUUACUACAUAUAAAUUGACGCUGAGGCACGAAAGCGUGGGGAUCAAGCA
rnacentral:rRNA from 1 species